AUUGAACGCUGGCGGCAGGCCUAACACAUGCAAGUCGAACGGUAACAGGAAGAAGCUUGCUUCUUUGCUGACGAGUGGCGGACGGGUGAGUAAUGUCUGGGAAACUGCCUGAUGGAGGGGGAUAACUACUGGAAACGGUAGCUAAUACCGCAUAACGUCGCAAGACCAAAGAGGGGGACCUUCGGGCCUCUUGCCAUCGGAUGUGCCCAGAUGGGAUUAGCUAGUAGGUGGGGUAACGGCUCACCUAGGCGACGAUCCCUAGCUGGUCUGAGAGGAUGACCAGCCACACUGGAACUGAGACACGGUCCAGACUCCUACGGGAGGCAGCAGUGGGGAAUAUUGCACAAUGGGCGCAAGCCUGAUGCAGCCAUGCCGCGUGUAUGAAGAAGGCCUUCGGGUUGUAAAGUACUUUCAGUGGGGAGGAAGGGAGUAAAGUUAAUACCUUUACUCAUUGACGUUACCCGCAGAAGAAGCACCGGCUAACUCCGUG
rnacentral:rRNA from 1 species